AGACUAAAUACGUUAUCAAGACCAUGCAAUGAUCACAAGAUCAAGAGGUAAAAUGUAGUUCAAGAUUUGGGGCUCAUUCACUAUUAGAGAUUAAUCGAGUAAAAGACAAACAACGUAUAAAUAUUGGCUAGGAUGAUUCGUGGCGCUACACAGGCAAAUUUGGUGGAGUCAGAUAAACAUUAUAAAGGAUUCAACUAAAGGAAGAUUCGAUAUAUCUGCAGGAGAAAAGGUAAUGU